rnacentral:rRNA from 1 species
UACGGAGGGAGCUAGCGUUGUUCGGAAUUACUGGGCGUAAAGAGCUCGUAGGCGGCUUGUCGCGUCGGAUGUGAAAGCCCGGGGCUUAACCCCGGGUCUGCAUUCGAUACGGGCAGGCUAGAGUUCGGUAGGGGAGAUCGGAAUUCCUGGUGUAGCGGUGAAAUGCGCAGAUAUCAGGAGGAACACCGGUGGCGAAGGCGGAUCUCUGGGCCGAUACUGACGCUGAGGAGCGAAAGCGUGGGGAGCGAACAGG